CGGAGGGGCGGGCUCGGCACGGCGGGACUCACCCCCGCCCGGGAAGGGGCGCACCGAGCGGGAGGUGUGUUAGCAGGACAGGUACCGAGCGUGUCCCGAGGAGGAGUGGUUGGUCCUGCUAUUCGCCGGAGCUCCGGAGAAAGAACGCGCAAGACGCUACAGAAAGGAGAAGAGGUGCAAAUGUAUUUUUAGGGUAGACGACAGCUAUUAAAAUCUGCAGUGAGUUUCAGAAAUGCUGCAGUUCGGCGCUGUAGACACAGCUGCGGGGUUUCUCAGCCACGCUGUCGUCUACGUGUGUGUGCUGAUGGGAUGCGGACAUCUCGAUCGUGGAUCAUGACUCAUUGCUCCAGUUUCUACACCUGCAAAACACAAGGACCAGAAAUCAAUGCGAGGGAGAAAAAGCAUGCUUCUCUUCUGUCCAGGUGGUGAGCCAGUAGUUUGCCUGCUAAUGCUUUACUUGCCCCAUGUUAAUAAGUGUUAAAGACUGGGCUUCCUGCCCUUUAUAGCAUGCUGAGUAGAUGGUGCCAAAUAAGAUUUGUGAGCUCCUUAGCAGAAGAAUGUCAAAAUUAUAGCAUUGGAAAGGAAAUUCUGCCUCAACAUAUAUUUCACUGUUUGUGAUCUUUAAACACCAAAGUACACCAGCACCUCACACUUAACGGUGUGAGUUUCACCUCUGAUUCAAUACGAGGAUUUCACCCAGACUCUCAAACAACUAAAGGAGGAUGACAGAAUAAAAACACACUUGCCAAAAUCAGGUUACAGUCUUGCCCCCUUCACCAUCCAAAACCCAUGCAUAUUUAGUAUUUUGAGAGUCUCCAGCGUAGCUGACUUGUGUGGCAUCAUGCAAAGUAGUAAUUUGGAUAGAUUUACCAAGCUGGGAUCCUCAGAAGUGCUGAUGAGAAUGGAGAACUCUGAGAUGCCAGAAUUUCCCCUUUGUAAGACAAAAUACUGGGUUGGCAGUAGCAUCAGCACCACUGAUGGCCAAUGAGCCAUGCUGCAAGACAUGUUACUUUAAGCUAUUGUAUGGGUUUCUAUGACACAUACUUAGGCCUAAGAACUAAAAUCAAGGUCUUAAACCUGCCUAACUGAAGUAAAGCUGCCUCACAAAGAAUCAAGCGUCUCACAGAGUAAGACAACCCGUCAGAAAAAUGCAAAGCCAUAGAAAUAAAACUAUGUACACCUUAUGCUGAUCUUUUUUCAGACAAUGGAGCUACAAACUUCUGUGGCAAUUGUUCUAGAAAAAAUGAAAUAUACAAAUAGCUUUACCACAAGCUACAUGUUUUAGUAAAGAUAAACCCAUAGUUGUUAAAAGAUUAUCAGAUCAAAAAAGAAUGACAGUAAGUGUUUUGUUUUCUUCUGCACCUUCACAACAGUUCCUCUACUGCAAGAGGAUUAGGCUGUAAGUGUUUACUUCAGUUGUUUGGGUUAGAGCUUUUUUUUGCACAGGGAGAUUCCAGCAAAGCCAGUAUUUAUUUUGCCACCCAGCAGGUGCCUGAGCUAGACUUGUAAUGCUUGAGCUCCAGCCUUCCUGAAGAAAGUGCCUACUUCACAAGAAGUACCUAAUUUGAGCACUGGGGAGUGGACUGCUGGUCUGAAUAGACUGGGAAGAGAUCAGCUUUCUCUUUUCUUGAUUUUCGGUUCUGUACUGUGUUCUCUCUUCAGCACAGUGCUUCUACUGUCAAGAGAGACAGUAAAUGCUGGAAUGCAGCAUUUGAGCCUCAAUAAUUUUUAUCUUCUCAGCAGAGGCUUCAAAAUAGAAAUAGUUGCCUCUAAAUCUCACAAUCUUUCAGCUCUCCCAUGCUCUUGUCAUUUUCACAGAGUACUUUGUGAGUAAAAAUAGCUUGAUUUGCUGAUAAAAUUAAACAUGCUUUCCACACAGAGCACCGCCCUCAAACAUCCUGACUGUUAAUGAGCUCUCUGCUUGCACAUGUUGUCACUCACAGGCUUCAGCCAAGAGGAAGUCUGUGGUUAGUAGCAGCUUAAAAACCUUCCAGAAGCCGACAAGCUAGGACAAAUGUCCUUAUUUUUGAAGUUAC